ACUGAAGGAGAAAAAUUAGAAUGGAAAAAGCAACAAUCAUUUUCGUCAUUGUUCUCCUAACUUCUUCUUACAUGAUAAUGAGGAGUGAAGGCCAAUUUCGAUGUAACAAAGCCGAGGACUGUGAUCCUCGUGGUUGCAGAGGAUAUACACAUGUAAUAUGUAAAGACAACAAGUGUACUUGUGCCCAUGGUGCUGUUAUUGGCGAUCAAUGUUUAGGAGUUCGUGACUGUAUUCUUGAUGGGUGUCCACCAAACAAUCACGUUAUCUGCCAAUUUGACGUUUGCACUUGUGUCCCAAGUUGAUUUAGUUGUCUCCAAUGAUUGGAAAAGUUCUAGAUGUAUGUCUUUAAUUAUCUAGAAAAUUAUGUUUAGUAAUCCAACUAAUAAAAGAGAAAUCUAAAAGUAAGAUAAACUUAUAAGAAUCAAUUUGUUUAUUUAA